GUUUAGAGGGAUACGGACAGGUACACAGAUUGGAAAUGUUUAGAGGGAUAUGGACAGGUACAUAGAUAGGAAAUAUUUAGAGGGAUAUGGACAGGUACACAGAUAGGAAAUGUUUUGAGGGAUAUGCAUAGGUACACAGAUAGGAAAUGUUUAGAGGGAUUCGUACAGGUACACGGAUAGGAAAUGUUUAGAGGGAUAUGGUCAGGUGCAUGGAUAGAAAUAGUUUAGAGGGAUAUGGACAGGUGCACAGAUAGGAAAUGUUUAGAGGUAUACGUACAGGUACAUGGAUAGGGAAUGUAUAGAGGGGUACGGACAGGUACACUGAUAGGAAAGGUUUAGAGGGAUACGGACAAGUACACAGAUUGGAAAGGUUUAGGGGGAUAUGGACAGGUACACAGAUGGGAAAUGUUUAGAGGGAUAUGGACAGGUACACGGAUAGGAAAGGUUUAGAGGGAUACGGACAGGUACACAGUUUGGAAAUGUUUAGAGGGAUAUGGACAGGUACACAGAUAGGAAAUGUUUAGAGGGAUAUGCACACGUACACGGAUAGGAAUAGUUUAGAGGGAUAUGGACAGGUACACAGAUGGGAAAUGUUUAGAGGGAUACGGACAGGUACAGGAAUAGGAAAGGUUUAGAGGGAUACGGACAGGUACACAGAUAGGAAUAGUUUAGAGUGAUAUGGACAGGUAUACAGAUAGGAAAUGUUUACAGGGAUACGGACAGGUACAUAGAUAGGAAAUAUUUAGAGGGAUAUGGACAGGUACACAGAUAGGAAAUGUUUUGAGGGAUAUGCAUAGGUACACAGAUAGGAAAUGUUUAGAGGGAUUUGUACAGGUACACGGAUAGGAAAUGCUUAGAGGGAUAUGGUCAGGUGCACGGAUAGAAAUAGUUUAGAGGGAUAUGGACAGGUGUACAGAUAGGAAAUGUUUAGAGGUAUACGGACAGGAACAUGGAUAGGGAAUGUAUAGAGGGGUACGGACAGGUACACUGAUAGGAAAGGUUUAGAAGGAUACGGACAGGUACAUGUAUAGGAAUUGUUUAGACGGAUACAGUCAGGUACACAGAUAGGAAAUGUUUAGAGGGAUGCGGACAGGUACACGGAUAGGAAAGGUUUAGAGGGAUACGGACAGGUACAGGGAUAGGAAAGGAUUAGAGGGAUACGGAGAGGCACACGGAUAGGAUAUGUUUAGAGGGCUAUGUACAGGUACAGGGAUAGGAAAGGUUUAGACGGAUACGGACAGGUUCACGGAUAGGAAAGGUUUAGAGGGAUAUGGACAGGUACACGGAUAGGAAUAGUUUAGAGGGAUACGGACAGGUACACGGAUAGGAAAGUUUUAGAGGGAUAUUGACAGGUACACAGAUAGCAAAUGUUUAGAGGGAUAUGGACAGGUACACUGAUAGGAAAGGUUUAGAGGGAUACGGACAGGUACACGGAUAGGAAAGGUUUAGACGGGAUACGGAAAGGUACAGGGAUAGGAAAGGUUUAGAGGGAUAUGGACAAGUACACGGAUAGGAAAGUUUUAGAGGGAUAUUGACAGGUACACAGAUAGCAAAUGUUUAGAGGGAUAUGGACAGGUACACAGAUGGGAAUGGUUUAGAGGGAUACGGACAGGUACACGGAUAGGAAUAGUAUAGAGUGAUAUGGACAGGUACACAGAUAGGAAAUGUUUAGAGGGAUACGGACAGGUACAGUGAUAGGAAUAGUUUAGAGGGAUAUGGACAGGUACACAGAUAGGAAAUGUUUUGAGGGAUAUGCACAGGUACACGGAUAGGAAUAGUUUAGGCGGAUACAGACAGGUACACAGAUAGGAAAUGUUUAGAGGGAUACGGACAGGUGCAGGGAUAGGAAUAGUUUAGAGGGAUAUGGACAGGUACACAGAUGGGAAAUGUUUAGAGGGAUAUGGACAGGUAUAGGGAUAGGAAAGGUUUAGAGGGAUAAGAAGAGGUACACGGAUAGGAAAGAUUUGGAGGGAUAUGGACAGGUACACGGAUAGGAAAGUUUUAGAGGGAUAUUGACAGGUACACAGAUAGCAAAUGUUUAGAGGGAUAUGGACAGGUACACUGAUAGGAAAGGUUUAGAGGGAUACGGACAGGUACACGGAUAGGAAAGGUUUAGACGGGAUACGGAAAGGUACAGGGAUAGGAAAGGUUUAGAGGGAUAUGGACAAGUACACGGAUAGGAAAGUUUUAGAGGGAUAUUGACAGGUACACAGAUAGCAAAUGUUUAGAGGGAUAUGGACAGGUACACUGAUAGGAAAGGUUUAGAGGGAUACGGACAGGUACACGGAUAGGAAAGGUUUAGACGGGAUACGGAAAGGUACAGGGAUAGGAAAGGUUUAGAGGGAUAUGGACAAGUACACGGAUAGGAAAGUUUUAGAGGGAUAUUGACAGGUACUCAGAUAGCAAAUGUUUAGAGGGAUAUGGACAGGUACACAGAUAGGAAAUGUUUAGAGGGAUACGGACAGGUACAGUGAUAGGAAUAGUUUAGAGGGAUAUGGACAGGUACACAGAUAGGAAAUGUUUUGAGGGAUAUGCACAGGUACACGGAUAGGAAUAGUUUAGGCGGAUACAGACAGGUACACAGAUAGGAAAUGUUUAGAGGGAUACGGACAGGUGCAGGGAUAGGAAUAGUUUAGAGGGAUAUGGACAGGUACACAGAUGGGAAAUGUUUAGAGGGAUAUGGACAGGUAUAGGGAUAGGAAAGGUUUAGAGGGAUAAGAAGAGGUACACGGAUAGGAAAGAUUUGGAGGGAUAUGGACAGGUACACGGAUAGGAAAGUUUUAGAGGGAUAUUGACAGGUAGACAGUUAGCAAAUGUUUAGAGGGAUAUGGACAGGUACACAGAUAGGAAAUGUUUAGAGGGAUAUGUACAGGUACACGGAUAGGACAGGUUUAGAGGGAUACGGACAGGUACAGAGACAGGAAAGGUGUAGAGGGAUACGGACAGGUACACGGAUAGGAAAUGUAUAGAGGGAUACGGACAGGUACACAGAUAGGAAAUGUUUAGAUGGAUACGGACAGGUACAGGGAUAGGAAUAGUUUAGAGGGAUAUGGACAGGUACACAGUAAGGAAAUGUUUAGAGGGAUACAGACAGGUACAGGGAUAGGAAUCGUUUAGAGGGAUAUGGACAGGUACACAGUAAGGAAAUGUUUUGAGGGAUACGGACAGGUACGCAGAUAGGAAAUGUUUUGAGGGAUAUGCACAGGUACACGGAUAGGAAUAGUUUAGACGGAUAUUGACAGGUACACAGAUAGGAAAUGUUUAGAGGGAUUCGGACAGGUACAGGGAUAGGAAUAGUUUAGAGGGAUAUGGACAGGUACACAGAUGGGAAAGGUUUAGAGGGAUACGGACAGGUAUAGGGAUAGGAAAGGUUUAGAGGGAUACGGAGAGGUACACGGAUAGGAAAGGUUUGGAGGGAUAUGGACAGGUACACGGAUAGGAAAGUUUUAGAGGGAUAUUGACAGGUACACAGAGAGGAAAUGUUUAGAGGGAUAUGGACAGGUACACAGAUAGGAAAUGUUUAGAGGGAUUUGGACAGGUACACGGAUAGGACAGGUUUAGAGGGAUACGGACAGGUACACAGAUAGGAAAGGUUUAGAUUGAAACGGACAGGUACACAGAUAGGAAAGAUUUAGAGGGAUAUGGACAGGUACAGAGACAGGAAAGGUUUAGACGGACACGGAGAGGUACACAGAUAGGAAAGGUUUAGAGGGAUACGGACAGGUACACGGAUAGGAAAUGUUUAGUGGUAUAUGGACAGGUCACGGAUAGGAAAUGUUUAGAGGGAUAUGUACAGGUACACGGAUAGGAAUAGCUUAGAGUUAUAUGGACAGGUAAACAGAUAGCAAAUGUUUAGAGGGAUACGGACAGGUACACGGAAAGGAAUAGUAUAGAGGGAUACAGACAGGUAUAUAGAUAGGAAAGGUUUAAAGGGAUAUGGACAGGUACACGGAAAGGAAUAGUUUAGAGGGAUACGGACAGGUACACAGAUAGGAAUAGUUUAGAGUGACAUGGAAAGGUACACAGUUAGGGAAUGUUUAGAGGGAUAUCGACAGGUAUAUGGAUAGGAAUGGUUUAGAGGGAUAUGGACAGGUACAUGGAUAGGAAUAGUUUAGAGUGAUAUGGACAGGUACAUGGAUAGGAAAGGUUUAGAGGGAUAUGGACAGGUACACGGAUAGGAAAGUUUUAGAGGGAUAUUGACAGGUAGACAGAUAGCAAAUGUUUAGAGGGAUAUGGACAGGUACACAGAUAGGAAAUGUUUAGAGGGAUAUGGACAGGUACACGGAUAGGACAGGUUUAGAGGGAUACGGACAGGUACAUGGAUAGGUAUAGUUUAGAGUGAUAUGGACAGGAACAUGGAUAGGAAAGGUUUAGAGGGAUAUGGACAGUUACACAGAUAGGAAUGCUUUAGAGGGAUACGGACAGGUACACAGAUAGGAAAGGUUUAGAGGGAUACAGACAGGUACAUGGAUAGGAAUAGUUUAGAGUGAUAUGGACAUGUUCAUGGAUAGGAAAGUUUCACAGGGAUACAGACAGGUACACGGAUAGGAAAGGUUUAGAGGGAUACGGACAGGUACACAGAUUGGAAAUGUUUAGAGGGAUAUGCACAGGUACACGGAUAGGAAUAGUUUAGAGGGAUAUGGACAGGUACACAGAUGGGAAAUGUUUAGAAGGAUACGGACAGGUACAGGAAUAGGAAAGGUUUAGAGGGAUAUGGACAGGUACACGGAUACGAAAGGUUUAGAGGGAUACGGAUACGUACACGGAUAGGAAUAGUUUCGAGUGAUAUGGACAGGUAUACAGAUAGGAAAUGUUUACAGGGAUACGGACAGGUACAUAGAUAGGAAAUAUUUACAGGGAUAUGGACAGGUACACAGAUAGGAAAUGUUUUGAGGGAUGUGCAUAGGUACACAGAUAGGAAAGGUUUAGAGGGAUACGGACAGGUAUAUAGAUGGGAAAUGUUUAGAGUGAUACAGACAUGUACACGGAUAGGAAAGGUUUAGAGGGGUCCGGCAGGUACACGGACAGGGAAUGUUUAGAGGGAUACGGACAGGUACACGGAUAGGAAUAGUUUAGACGGAUACAGACAGGUACACAGAUAGGAAAGGUUUAGAGGGAUACGGACAGGUACAUAGAUGGGAAAUGUUUAGAGUGAUACAGACAGGUACACGGAUAGGAAAGGUUUAGAUUGAUACGGACAGGUACACGGACAGGGAAUGUUUAGAGGGAUACGGACAGGUACACGGAUAGGAAUAGUUUAGACGGAUACAGACAGGUACACAGAUAGGAAAGGUUUAGAGGGAUACGGACAGGUACAUAGAUGGGAAAUGUUUAGAGUGAUACAGACAGGUACACGGAUAGGAAAGGUUUAGAUUGAUACGGACAGGUACACGGAUAGGAAUAGUUUAGACGGAUACAGACAGGUACACAGAUAGGAAAGGUUUAGAGGGAUACGGACAGGUACAUAGAUGGGAAAUGUUUAGAGUGAUACAGACAGGUACACGGAUAGGAAAGGUUUAGAUUGAUACGGACAGGUACACGGACAGGGAAUGUUUAGAGGGAUAUGGACAGGUACACGGAUAAGAAAGGUUUAGAGGGAUACGGACAGGUACACAGAUUGGAAAUGUUUAGAGGGAUACGGACAGGUACACGGAUAGGAAAUGUUUAGAGGGAUAUGGUCAGGUGCACGGAUAGAAAUAGUUUAGAGGGAUAUGGACAGGUGUACAGAUAGGAAAUGUUUAGAGGUAUACGGACAGGUACAUGGAUAGGGAAUGUAUAGAGGGGUACGGACAGGUACACUGAUAGGAAAGGUUUAGAAGGAUACGGACAGGUACAUGUAUAGGAAUAGUUUAGACGGAUACAGUCAGGUACACAGAUAGGAAAUGUUUAGAGGGAUACGGACAGGUACACGGAUAGGAAAGGUUUAGAGGGAUAUGGACAGGUACAGGGAUAGGAAAGGUUUAGAGGGAUACGGAGAGGCACACGGAUAGGAUAUGUUUAGAGGGCUAUGUAGAGGUACAGGGAUAGGAAAGGUUUAGACGGAUACGGACAGGUUCACGGAUAGGAAAGGUUUAGAGGGAUAUGGACAGGUACACGGAUAGGAAAGUUUUAGAGGGAUAUUGACAGGUACACAGAUAGCAAAUGUUUUGAGGGAUAUGUACAGGUACACAGAUAGGAAAUGUUUAGAGGGAUACGGACAGGAAAGGUUUAGAGGGAUACGGACAGGUGCACGGAUAGGAAUAGUUUAGAUUAAUAUGGACAGGUAAACUGAUAGCAAAUGUUUAGAGGGAUACGGACAGGUACACGUAAAGGAAUAGUUUAGUGGGAUACGGACAGGUACACGGAUAGGAAAGGUUUAGAGGGAUACGGACAGGUACAUAGAUGGGAAAUAUUUAGAGGGAUACGGCCAGGUGCACGGAUAGAAAUAGUUUAGAGGGAUAUGGACAGGUACACGGAUAGGAAAGGUAUAGAGGGAUACGGACAGGUACACGGAUAGGAAAGGUAUAGAGGGAUACGGCCAGGUGCACGGAUAGAAAUAGUUUAGAGGGAUAUGGACAGGUACACGGAUAGGAAAGGUUUAGAGGCAUUCGGACAUGUACUCAGAUAGGAAAGGUUUAGAGGGAUACGGACAGGUGCAUAGAUGGGAAAUGUUUAGAGGGAUACGGACAGGUACAUGGAUAGGAAAUGUUUAGAGGGAUAUGGACAGGUGCUCAGAUAGGAACAGUUUAGAGGCAUUCGGACAUGUACUCAGAUAGGAAAUGUUUAGAGGGAUACGGACAGGUGCUCAGAUAGGAACAGUUUAGAGGGAUACGGACAGGUACA